rnacentral:sRNA from 1 species
UGAGUGAGGUGGUUUAACAACAGUGGUGGGUUCAUCUGUUCCUUGAUGGUUUGAAAAACCAAAUCCUUGAUUUAAACAUGUAUACAUGUAUUACAAAAUGAAACUUAAGGAAGAACCAAGACCCAUCACUGUAAUAUACACUGCAUUAUUUUAACCAAAAUGUUCAUGUUUUUUCUAUUGUCACAAAAUCAUGUUGUAAGAUUUGGUUGGAAUUGCUAUUAGAAUAUAACACACCCUAUGCUUAUUCUGUUAUACUGUGUCAUUAUGUUUUCUGAAAAACUACAAAUCCAGCCCAUUUUGUUGCUGGUAAAAGCAAAUAAAUUGCUAUCAU